ACAACCAACAAUACUAGAUCAUCUAGAAUCAUCACCUACUACAAAUAUAUCUGAAUUACUUGGAGAGGACAUUAAUAUAAAUGAACUUGAUACUUUAGCAAUACCCACAUAUUCCAGAAAAGUAAAGGAUAAUAGACAACCAACUAUACUAGAUCAUCUAGAAUCAUCACCUACUAAAAAUAUAUCUGAAUUACUUGGAGAGGACAUUAAUAUAAAUGAACUUGAUACUUUAGGUUUCAAUUUACCUUCCACAUCAGGUAUAU